UACGUAGGGCGCAAGCGUUUGUCCGGAAUUAUUGGGCGUAAAGAGCUCGUAGGUGGCUUGUCGCGUCUGCCGUGAAAGUCCGGGGCUCAACUCCGGAUCUGCGGUGGGUACGGGCAGACUAGAGUGCGGUAGGGGAGACUGGAAUUCCUGGUGUAGCGGUGAAAUGCGCAGAUAUCAGGAGGAACACCGGUGGCGAAGGCGGGUCUCUGGGCAACAACUGACGCUGAGGAGCGAAAGCGUGGGGAGCGAACAGG
rnacentral:rRNA from 1 species